GCCUGGGUGGGCUAGUCGCUUAAGCAUCUGACUUCAGCUCAGGUCCUGAUCCCAUGACUCGUGGGUUCAAGCCCCACGUCAGGCU
rnacentral:tRNA from 1 species